UGAUGAGCACCGAGGGGC
rnacentral:misc_RNA from 1 species